rnacentral:rRNA from 1 species
UACGGAGGGGGCGAGCGUUAUUCGGAAUUAUUGGGCGUAAAGGGCGCGUAGGCGGCUGUACAAGUCAAAGGUGAAAUCCCUCGGCUCAACUGAGGAACUGCCUUUGAAACUGUACGGCUUGAGGCCGGGAGGGGGUAGCGGAAUUCCCAGUGUAGCGGUGAAAUGCGUAGAUAUGUGGAGGAACACCGAUGGCGAAGGCAGCCCCCUGGGUCAAGACUGACGCUCAUGCACGAAAGCGUGGGGAGCAAACAGG